AUCCUAAACUUAUUAAGAUAAAUUCCAAUCCACAUCUUAAGUGGAUCGGGUUAAAUUAAAACCCGCCAAUGUGGACACACCAUAUGGCUACAUUGUGGAUACAUGAACAUUGAGGAUGAAGAUGAUGGGUUUGAGUUAAUACGAAAUGAUACAGAAGGGAUUACUAUAGAUGCUGAUGUGUUGAAUAUUGAUUUGCUUAAUAUCAAAGAUAGUUUAGAUGAAUAAGCUAAUAUUAAUUAGUUUCAGGUUUGCAAGCUUGUCUUUGUCUUCUUAGAAUUGCAUUUAUUAAAGCUAAUAUCAAUUAGGCAUAUGUUGUCUGAAUAGGAGAAGUCUGUGUGCUAAACUAGAGGCUGGGUAUAACACUUGUGUGCUUGAUUAGGUGCAGGCAACGGUAGUAGUCGUGGACUUGGAAUGAAUCGAAGACUCGAGCAACUUUGAAGUAUAGGUGAUGGUGAGAGCUUCAACAUUACGUACUACGGUGGGUUCAAGCGCCUCUUCGUCACGGGCAACGACAACACCAAGUCAUGUUGGGUCGUCUUCAAUUGGGUCUGAUUUACCUUCAUCCCCUCCUGAUAUAGCAAGUAAGAUAAUCGCAUUUUGUGAGGUGUAUUAAUUUUUUCUUUUUGGGGAUUCUUUCCACCCUGCCCACCUCUGAUCUGAACUCAGGAAUCUCUCAAACUCGAAAGCUGGUUUAUCAAAGAAUAUAAUAAUUUAGUAGUCAUUUCUUAUGAGGAUGGACUGCGUAAUUAACUAAUGUUUAGUUUCUCCUUUUCAAUUUCGUGCUUUUUCUUUUUUAUAUAUAUCUCGAGUGUUGGUGUUUUAUUAGGUUUUGUUUUACUUUAUUGUAAUGUUUACUUUGUGCGUGGCUUUGUGUUGUUGUAACUCGUAAUGCUUCCAUGAUAGUUCCAAUGAUCUCAAAAAGCUUAA